rnacentral:rRNA from 1 species
UACGUAGGGUGCGAGCGUUAAUCGGAAUUACUGGGCGUAAAGCGUGCGCAGGCGGUUCGUUGUGUCGGCGGUGAAAGCCCCGGGCUUAACCUGGGAACUGCGUCGGAUACUGGAUGGCUUGAAUCCGGGAGAGGGAUGCGGAAUUCCAGGUGUAGCGGUGAAAUGCGUAGAUAUCUGGAGGAACACCGGUGGCGAAGGCGGCAUCCUGGACCGGUAUUGACACUGAAAAGCGAAAGCCAGGGGAGCAAACGGG